rnacentral:rRNA from 1 species
GGAGUUAUGAAAUGCAGGUUGGUUAAUACCCAACCUGUUUGACAAAGGCCCCAAAGGAAGCCACGGCUAACUCUGUGCCAGCAGCCGCGGUAAUACAGAGGUGGCAAGCGUUGUUCGGUAUUAUUGGGCGUAAAGAGCACGUAGGUGGUUUUGUAAGUCAGAUGUGAUAGCCUUCUGUUCAAAGGAAGAACGGCAUCUGAAACUGCAGAUCUUGAGUGUAGGAGGGGAGAGUGGAACUUCUGGU